AUACGGAGGAUCCGAGCGUUAUCCGGAUUUAUUGGGUUUAAAGGGUGCGCAGGCGGCCAUUUAAGUCAGCGGUUAAAUCGUGGGGCUCAACCCCAUUCUGCCGUUGAUACUGGGUGGCUUGAUUGCGGUCGAGGUUGGCGGAAUUCGUUGUGUAGCGGUGAAAUGCAUAGAUAUGACGAAGAACACCGAUUGCGUAGGCAGCUGACCAGACCGCAAAUGACGCUCAUGCACGAAAGUGCGGGGAUCGAACAGGAUUAGAUACCCUGGUAGUCCGCACAGUAAACGAUGAAUACUUGUUUUCGGCGAUAGAAUGUCGGAGGCAAAGCGAAAGCGAUAAGUAUUCCACCUGGGGAGUACGCCGGCAACGGUGAAACUCAAAGGAAUUGACGGGG
rnacentral:rRNA from 1 species